CAUUACCCCCAACACACAACCUAUUUUGUAGAAAUUUAAAGACGAAGAAGACGAUUCUCUAUUGUGAAGAAAUACGUGAUUGCAACCCAUUGAACAUUUACCAACAAUCCAGGAAAAAGAAGAGAAUUAAGAAGAUAGAAUAUAAGGAUGAACUUGGAAUAUAAGAAAGAAUUAGAAUAUAAUAUUGGAGGAACCAGUAGCAGUGGCCAUUUAUUUCUUCCUGGGACAAUGUAAAUAUAUGAAAAGACACAGAGUUGAAAAUAGAAACAAAGUGAACAGAUAUUUCAAUAGAUUAAUACUUAAAGAAGAAAUAAAAGGAAGAAUAGAAAAAAUUAUGGAAAUUUAUUAUUCUAGGACUAUGAGCUAAUAAGAAAAGGCACAGAAUGAGUUGAAAAUAGAGACAAUGUGAUAAGAUAUUUCAAUAGAUCAAUAUUUCAAGAAGAAAUAAAAGGAAAAAUGGA